GUGGAAAAUUUGCUAGCUUUUUAGCAGUUUGACACCACUGUGCUAGGCACUGACUAAUGAAGCUGCUAGCAUGUUUGAUUUUAAAGUGAAACGUAAAUGUGUUUUCCUAAUACCACUCUGAAUGUCUACUUAAUAAGAAAAUAAUAUGGUCUAAUAGUAAGACAGAAUUCAACAAAUAGGCAGAGAAAAUUUCCAAGUUCCCAGGCCAUAGACAGAAAUGACAGAAAGUAACGAUUUUCUGUUCCCAGCCUUUAAAGUGGUAUUCCCGCCUGCUGGCCUUCCUCUCUGCAUUGCUGGCUUUUCCUAAUUCAAACAUUGCACUCAGCAUCCCUGAUGUCCUUGCUGAGUUUCAUUUUUUCUCAGUGCCACUCUUAACCUUAAAGUUGAAGAAUGAGGGGAAGAUAGUGAGAUGGAGCUCAGAUCUGAGUCCCUUGACUCUGCACAGACAUGGAGCACGCAGAAGGGAGGGAGGAGAGAGAGGAGGUAGGAGGGCCUGAAUGAGGCCUAGAGAACCUAGAAACUCUUUCAGAAGCCAAAGGGGACCCUAGAACUAGUCCACCUGGAAUCUGUCCCAGGAACCCUCCCACUGGGAACCUUGGCAUCACUUCCCUCACGACAACCUGGAAGGCCAAAGAGGCACCAACCCACCACUGCCCAGCUCCUCACACAGACAGGAAGUCUAAGUGCAGCUCCUGAAUGAUCCUAGCCUAAGUGUAAGGCGGAGUUUAAAACCUCCUUCAAGUUAGGGAAGCCUCAGAACAAUCUGGUCAUUUACACUAUAGCUCCCAAUGUUUUUGUUUGAUCACAUUUUCACAGUUUAAUCUAUUUUGUGGUACAGUGUUAAAGAUACAUCUGGAGAAAUAAGCUUUGUUUUAUUUACCAUUGUAGAUAGCAGGGACCUACACUCAAAGGUGAUGCUUCUCCCAGCACUACUGGUCCUCUUUGAUUUACCUUAAAAGUUUAAACUUAACACAAAGACAGGAAGUUCAGGUAGAGGAUGCAUCACCUGUAUCUAAGGCUAUUUUUUAAUUGCUGGAGCAUCUCCCCACUGGGACAACAGGUCUCACACUGGAAGACUUUCGCAUGGCUCCCUGGUCCUCACCAUCCACUUCCCAUCCCUUAAGGACUCUGAAGGAAACUAAAAGGGAGGUGGGACUUUUCCCCAAUUGAACCUUUCUCAUCUGGGCAGAGAGCCAACCAGAUCUAAGUCUGAGGUUUCAUCCUCUCCCAUGAAGAAGACAGAAAAUGGUGCAAAAAGUUUAAAUUAAUGAUUUCUUCACCUACAUUCCAGCAGCGUUGUGCUCAAUCGAGGCAUCAGCACCAGCAUUCCACCACAUCUGGCUCCAGCAAGAUGCCUCAUGAAAUUCCCCAGCUAACCUCCUUAGUCCUGAAAGAGGACAGAGAGAUCUGUGCCCCUGCACUCUCUCUUCCUCUGAUCCUGCCAGCACAUGGUCCCUGGGUAAGAGCUAGCAUUUGGAUGGAAAAUAAUAACUGACAUUUUAUUGAGUUCCAACUGUGCAUCAAAAGCUGAAUUAGGCAUCUUCACAAUUAUUCCACAAGACAAACAUUAGCCCAUUUAAAGAUGAGAAAAGCUAAGACUCUGAGAGGGUUAGGACUUGCCAGAGUAACAAUAUGAAUAAAAGUGGCAAGGACAGAAUUUGAGCCAAAGGCCAUGUUUCUGACUAGACCUUACAAAUGUGAGGUUAAAAUUUUAAAAUACAUUAAUGACAACCUAAACACGGGGACCCAACCCCAUUUUAAAACCAAGUUCAAAAAAAUCCACUGUACAGUAAGACAGGACAUUCUGCAGUUAAUGCAAAAAUCCAGACCUCCUUGGGCCUUCCCAGCCAAGCAGACGGAGCAGAGUGGCAAUGCCACCUGUCCAUCUUAUCAGCACUUAGGAAAGUUUCACGGUCCAGCUGUGAGCUUUAAGGGACAGAAUUUUACAAGUAACAGAGCAAAUAUAAACUCCAAGACACUCAGCUGUAAGAACCUAUUUUAGAGGUGUGAAAGUUCUUAUAACACCUCAGAAUCCAAAAAUGUGCCUGACAAUGACCCAAGAUGCACAAAGCAACACGUAGUUCCGCAGACAGGGAUGUGUUCUUUAACCACCAUGAUGUUCAGAAGGAGCAACAGAGCUUUGUAUUUUACUUAACAUUCACAUACAGUAAUGUAGUCAAGAAAAAGUUUUCUGUUACCAAUUUUGAAAGUUGCUUAAAAUAGCUGACAGAAUGAGGUAACCCCAUACAUAGGGGGAAAUCAGGUACUUAAGUAAUUUGCAAGAAUUAUUUCUAUUUUUGUCAACAUUUU
rnacentral:lncRNA from 1 species